GUGCCUGCUAAACUGGUAUCAGU
rnacentral:miRNA from 8 species